UAUAUAGCAACCUACUCAGUCUGCAUGACGU
rnacentral:piRNA from 1 species